UGUCUAAUAAAGUCAUAAUAUAUACAUUGUUUUUGAAUUACCGUAAAGCAUUUUGUCACUUUCGCAUGAACGUGAACAUGAGGCGAGAUUGUGUCGGGUCGAUGCAGCUCAACGUGCCAGAUGGGGUAAGUGCUUGCCUCAAACACACCACUUCAAGUCAAUUAACCAUCGUAAGGACUUUUAUGAAGGUAAAAAAAGUUACUUAGUUCUGCUUUAAAGUCUCAUUUGUUAACAUUAGUUUAUGUAAAGGUAACAUAAACAAUGAGCAAAACAUUUGAUACAUUUUUAUUAUUCAUCUUUACAAAUGUCAGUUAAUAAUAACAUGGCUGUUCAUUGUUUUUUUCUUUUUAACACAUUUUUUUAGAUUUCUGCAACACACCAAACAUGGAUGACAAGAGUGAAGGAUAAGGUUAUGGCUCAUCAAUUUUAAGUUUACCUGUGCCUGCAGUGCAACCCUCUCUGGUCCCGGAUGUCCUCUGGAUUUGUUGAUCUUUCCUGGACUCAUUCUGGUUACCAAUCUUUUCUCUGGCUCUGGGAGGAGGGCGAAGGGCAAAGGAAAAAAAUAAACAAAAAAAAAGUCCAUAGAAAACAAAAGUAGUCCAAGGGGGAGUGGAGGGUGGGAGGAGCCAAGGGGAAGCCUGGAGCAGGAGGAGCCAGAUGUUGGUCCAGAGACCAACCAUGAUGAGGCCCCAGGGUGGAGUCGAGGAUGAGGAGCACCAUCGUGGGGAGAUGAGAGGCGCCACCCUGGGGACGGCCGAUGGAGAAGCCACCGAUGAUGGUGAUCCAGGUGGAGUUGGAAUGCCGGAGAGCCCAACCGACGCUGCUGGAUCUGGAGACCGAGCUGGAGCCGGGACGACGAACAUCCGAGGUGGAAUCCAGGAACCUGAAGACUGAGAUGGAGGCGGUGCGACCGAGGACGAAGGAGGAGACGGGGGAAGGAGGAGCCAGGCGAAACCGUAGGUUCAGGCUGGACGACGUCUGACCAAGUCGGAGCCUGUGGGACGAGGGAGCCCGGUGGAGUCUUGAGGCUGAGGGUAUCCAGUGGAGCCAAGGGAGGGAGGAGCCACGGCGAAGGCGAAGCGUCGACAGGCCGCGGUGGAGUGUUGGACUCGAGGGCUGGAGGCGGAGCCAGGAGAACCUCAGUCCACGGUGACACUGGUGGCCUGAAGCGUCGAGUCGGAUCCAUGCGUUUACGUGAUGGAGUUGAUGAGGGGCUGAAGGAUACCAGGGGAGGCAGAGAUGAGAUGGUUUGAGGAGGCGGGAGAGGGAGGUUGGGAGGGAACACAGGGCUGGACAGAACCAGCAGGGGCACGGAGAGUUCUGAGCUGGACGGGACCAGCGGGGGCACGAACAGUUCUGAGCUGGACGGGACCAGCGGGGGCACAAACAGUUCUGAGCUGGACGGGACCAGCGGGGGCACGAACAGUUCUGAGCUGGACGGAACCAGCGGGGAAACAAGACAAGGGGAAUUUACCUCCUCAAACACAUCCAAUAAAUCCAGAAAAGUCUCCGUGGUAAUAUCCAUCCCAUCCACCGUGGUAAGGCUGUGGGCGGGGCUUUCCUCCCAGCCCUCGAACUCCACUAACACUCCCUCGACAGCACACAAUGUAGCGGACUCAAGCACCUGGUCAGACACACCUAGCGGUUCACACCCCGGGCGACGACUCCUUCCGUCCUCUCUUCAGGUUCGGUCUCGUUCGUCCCAGCAGGUUGAUCUCCGCGGUCUGCGGU